rnacentral:rRNA from 2 species
AUGUGACCUCAAAUCAGGUAGGACUACCCGCUGAACUUAAGCAUAUCAAUAAGCGGAGGAAAAGAAACUAACAAGGAUUCCCCUAGUAACUGCGAGUGAAGCGGGAAAAGCUCAAAUUUAAAAUCUGGCGGUCUCUGACUGUCCGAGUUGUAAUCUAGAGAAGUGUUAUCCGCGCUGGACCGUGUACAAGUCUCCUGGAAUGGAGCGUCAUAGAGGGUGAGAAUCCCGUCUUUGACACGGACUGCCAGGGCUUUGUGAUGCGCUCUCAAAGAGUCGAGUUGUUUGGGAAUGCAGCUCAAAAUGGGUGGUAAAUUCCAUCUAAAGCUAAAUAUUGGCGAGAGACCGAUAGCGAACAAGUACCGUGAGGGAAAGAUGAAAAGAACUUUGGAAAGAGAGUUAAACAGUACGUGAAAUUGCUGAAAGGGAAACGCUUGAAGUCAGUCGCGUUGGCCAGGGAUCAACCUUGCUUUUGCUUGGUGUACUUUCUGGUUGACGGGUCAGCAUCAAUUUUGACUAUUGGAAAAAGGUCAAGGGAAUGUGGCAUCUUCGGAUGUGUUAUAGCCCUUGGUUGCAUACAAUGGUUGGGAUUGAGGAACUCAGCACGCCGAAAGGCCGGGUUUUAACCACGUACGUGCUUAGGAUGCUGGCAAAAUGGCUUUAAUCGACCCGUCUUGAAACACGGACCAAGGAGUCUAACAUGCCUGCGAGUGUUUGGGUGGAAAACCCGAGCGCGUAAUGAAAGUGAAAGUUGAGAUCCCUGUCGUGGGGAGCAUCGACGCCCGGACCAGACCUUUUGUGACGGUUCCGCGGUAGAGCAUGUAUGUUGGGACCCGAAAGAUGGUGAACUAUGCCUGAAUAGGGUGAAGCCAGAGGAAACUCUGGUGGAGGCUCGUAGCGAUUCUGACGUGCAAAUCGAUCGUCAAAUUUGGGUAUAGGGGCGAAAGACUAAUCGAACCAUCUAGUAGCUGGUUCCUGC